CUGCAUAAAGAAAUUAGAUCAUCUACUAGUAAGAUCAGAUCUGUGCCAGAUAUCGACAGUAUAAACGCAGCCUUUUAUGUGUGGUUUCACGGCAGAUCUCGGGCCCUCGGCUCCACAGAUGAACUGUGGGCUGUGAUCUUCGGUGCUGGCAGGGCUUCAGCUCGCCCUCAUGUCUGCCAUCUGAUUCUACACCUGCCAAACUCCACGGCCCCCAUCUGCCCUUUACAACAUGACCUCAUCGGCACGGCACGUUUGAAGUGCUCUAGAAAGACUGCCAGCAUGUUCUGGAUUCUCUGCCUCAAUCCCGAGACGCUCACAAGAGAAUACAACAUCUAAAAAAACAUCAUUUUAUCUAAUAAAAGGUGUGAGUGGUCUGGUUCCUGGUGUCCUCGGCGCUCAGCAGGUGGAGGCGACUGCAGCAGGUGUUAGCGCGGAGGGUGGAGAGAAGCCGUGAUUAAUGCCGCGGUGCCCUUUACUGUUUCAGAGCGGCAGG
ensembl:lncRNA